rnacentral:lncRNA from 1 species
GCUUGUAAGAACCAAUGGAAAACCCUGUUUGUAUGAACUUAAGCCGGGUCGCGCGGUAAUCUUCUGGAGAAAUCUGCGAGGGAGAAACUUGAAAUAACCUGGAGAGAGAACAUUUUGAUUUGGUUAAUGUGAAUUCUAUCUCGUACAUAUCUGAAAUCAAAUUGGGAUAUUCGAAGAUUCACCUGGUGGGAUAAUAUCUUGUCUUGCUUUUUUUGUUGGUUUAAUGCUAACCGGUUUUGCAUGUUCAUUCUUCCAUCACUUUUAGUAUUCAUGCAUGCGUAGAGUAGAUGAAUGUGUAACUUUAACACUCUGGUUAUCGAUGUAGAAAUAAUAUGUGCUCAUCUGCAGUCUGCCAGUAUGCAUCAUUUAUGAACGAUGCAAAACUGAGCUUAACUGUUGAGUGAGAACGCGCAAAAUCUCCGUCGCAGAGAGGAUAUUUGCUGCGCAACAAACCGCAGGAAAACUCAAUUUCCUGGUCGCUUCGCUCUCUAGCUAUCUAGCGGACGACCGUCUCGUAAGGCA